UAGCUAGUUGGUGAGGUAAAGGCUUACCAAGGCGACGAUCUGUAGCAGGUCUGAGAGGAUGAUCCGCCACACUGGAACUGAGACACGGUCCAGACUCCUACGGGAGGCAGCAGUGGGGAAUUUUGGACAAUGGGGGCAACCCUGAUCCAGCCAUGCCGCGUGAGUGAAGAAGGCCUUCGGGUUGUAAAGCUCUUUCGGCCGGGAAGAAUUCGCAUGGGCCAAUACCCUGUGUGGAUGACGGUACCGGAAUAAGAAGCACCGGCUAACUACGUGCCAGCAGCCGCGGUAAUACGUAGGGUGCGAGCGUUAAUCGGAAUUACUGGGCGUAAAGCGUGCGCAGGCGGUUUUGUAAGACAGGCGUGAUAUCCCCGGGCUUAACCUGGGAACUGCGUUUGUGACUGCAAGGCUAGAGUACGGCAGAGGGGGGUGGAAUUCCACGUGUAGCAGUGAAAUGCGUAGAGAUGUGGAGGAACACCAAUGGCGAAGGCAGCCCCCUGGGUCGAUACUGACGCUCAUGCACGAAAGCGUGGGUAGCAAACAGGAUUAGAUACCCUGGUAGUCCACGCCCUAAACUAUGUCAACUAGGUGUUGGGUGGGUAAAACCAUUUAGUACCGUAGCUAACGCGUGAAGUUGACCGCCUGGGGAGUACGGCCGCAAGGUUAAAACUCAAAGGAAUUGACGGGGACCCGCACAAGCGGUGGAUGAUGUGGAUUAAUUCGAUGCAACGCGAAAAACCUUACCUACCCUUGACAUGCCAGGAACUUGCCAGAGAUGGCUUGGUGCCCGAAAGGGAGCCUGGACACAGGUGCUGCAUGGCUGUCGUCAGCUCGUGUCGUGAGAUGUUGGGUUAAGUCCCGCAACGAGCGCAACCCUUGUCGUUAAUUGCCAUCAUUUGGUUGGGCACUUUAACGAGACUGCCGGUGACAAACCGGAGGAAGGUGGGGAUGACGUCAAGUCCUCAUGGCCCUUAUGGGUAGGGCUUCACACGUCAUACAAUGGUUGGUACAAAGGGUUGCCAAGCCGCGAGGCGGAGCCAAUCCCAGAAAGCCGAUCGUAGUCCGGAUUGCAGGCUGCAACUCGCCUGCAUGAAGUCGGAAUCGCUAGUAAUCGUGGAUCAGCAUGUCACGGUGAAUACGUUCCCGGGUCUUGUACACACCGCCCGUCACACCAUGGGAGCGGGUUCCGCCAGAAGUAGGUAGCCUAACCGCAAGGGGGGCGCUUACCACGGCGGGGUUCGUGACUGGGGUGAAGUCGGAACAAGGUAGCCGUAGGGGAACCUGCGGCUG
rnacentral:rRNA from 1 species